rnacentral:rRNA from 1 species
AGGGCACCACCAGGAGUGGAGCCUGCGGCUUAAUUUGACUCAACACGGGAAAACUCACCCGGCCCGGACACUGGAAGGAUUGACAGAUUGAGAGCUCUUUCUUGAUUCAGUGGGUGGUGGUGCAUGGCCGUUCUUAGUUGGUGGAGCGAUUUGUCUGGUUAAUUCCGAUAACGAACGAGACUCUAGCCUACUAAAUAGAUUGUUGGCUUACAAACCCCAAUGAGACUUCUUAGAGGGACAGGCGGCGAUUCGUUGGCUGUAAACAGAGCAAUAACAGGUCUGUGAUGCCCUUAGAUGACCGGGGCCGCACCCGCCGCUACACUGAAGUGAUCAGCGUGCAUUCUCAUCCUACUCUGCCAAGAGUGGUGAACCCAAUGAACCUUCUUCUGGAUUGGGAUAGGAGAUUGUAAUUAUUCUCCUUGAACGAGGAAUUCCCAGUAAGCCUGAGUCAUAAGCUCGCGUUGAUUAUGUCCCUGCCCUUUGUACACACCGCCCGUCGCUACUACCGAUUGAAUGUUU